GUACUGAUGAAGAGUCCAAACCAGGAAGAAAUAGCUGUCCAGUAC
rnacentral:hammerhead_ribozyme from 1 species